rnacentral:rRNA from 1 species
GAUGAACGCUGGCGGUAUGCCUAACACAUGCAAGUCGUACGAGAGUUUUUAACUCUAGUGGCGGACGGGUGAGUAACACGUGAGAAUUUGCCUUUAGGAGGGGGACAACAAUUGGAAACGAAUGCUAAUACCCCAUAUGCUUUUGAGUGAAAUGGAUUUAUCCGCCUAAAGAGAAGCUCGCGGCUGAUUAGCUUGUUGGUAAGGUAAGAGCUUACCAAGGCGACGACGGGUAGCCGGCCUGAGAGGGCGACCGGCCACACUGGGACUGAGACACGGCCCAGACUCCUACGGGAGGCAGCAGUGGGGAAUAUUGGGCAAUGGAGGAAACUCUGACCCAGCGACGCCGCGUGCGGGAUGAAGGCCUUCGGGUUGUAAACCGCUUUCAGCAGGGAAGAAGCGAAAGUGACGGUACCUGCAGAAGAAGCACCGGCUAACUAUGUG